GAAGAAGGAUUUCGAGCAUUAGAAAUAGACACGGUCACAAGAAGGAAAUUUUUAUUUAGAGUAUCGAAGAUUGACAGAGGAAGAGUGGUAGUUUAGGACAUGGAAAAUCGAUUGUCGAUUUUCAGGAAAUAAAAUCGUAUUAUAAAAUAUGUACAUAUACAGUUACGAGCGAAGUCCGCAAAGCGCGUGCCAACAGAGUAGGCUUUGUUGAGGCAAUAUCAACAUAAUACACAGCUAUCCAACAAAAGUUCAAAGAAAUACAUAGUUGAGUAGCAAAUAUAAUAUGUAU
rnacentral:misc_RNA from 1 species